CAGAUGUGCCAGCUAAUCCAGUGUGAAUAGGUGUCCCUGGUCAGGCACAGAUCUCCAGGCCGUGGCAUCGCUGUGACCUCCGAACUCCCUCUCACACAUUAGCCCGGUGACUGUCAGAGUCCCUGGCCGCCAAAGAACACGAAGAAGCAACAACGGUAAAGGUGUCUUUCUUCCUGAUACUGAGGCUGGACCAACAUAUAAUUCCUGAUGACUGCAUUGCACUCUUCUUCCUGAGGGAUCUUUGGGAAGCAGAGAGGGCACGUUCUCUGCCAUCAGGUAUUUGUGCAGUGUGUGUGUUUCUCUACUAAGUGCAUCUUUUCAUCAAAAAAUUACUGCUUAUACAGCAGCUCUACUCAU
rnacentral:lncRNA from 1 species